UACGUAGGGGGCAAGCGUUGUCCGGAAUUAUUGGGCGUAAAGCGCGCGCAGGCGGCUUCUUAAGUCUGAUGUGAAAGCCCACGGCUCAACCGUGGAGGGUCAUUGGAAACUGGGAAGCUUGAGUGCAGAAGAGGAGAGUGGAAUUCCACGUGUAGCGGUGAAAUGCGUAGAGAUGUGGAGGAACACCAGUGGCGAAAGCGGCUCUCUGGGACGUGACUGACGCUGAGACGCGAAAGCGUGGGGAGCAGACAGG
rnacentral:rRNA from 1 species